UAAAUUUUCGCCUACAUUAAGGGUUUUCAGCAGGAGAGAGAACGUUAAAUUUUCCCAAUCCCGCGGUGUUCUCUAAUAUACUUUGAAAACCUAAUCGCAGCCUUCUUUGAUAUCCUUUGAAAAUCUAGCCGUUGUUUCUUCUUCAAAGGUAUUGGGGCUCCUUCAGUUUCUCCCCUGUUCUCUCUCUAUCAAGACUCCUUCGAUCGACUCCCACACUUCUCUCUCACCUUCACUCGAUUGAGAUGCAAAAUCAGCAUGUGUAGAAAAUGGAUGACAAUCUUACUGAAAACAUCGCAAAUAUGAGUGCGGUUGCAUUUGACAAUCAUAGAAAGAAACGAGGUCAAUCUAGGGGAUUGAUUACAAUGUCAUUGCCAUGUGGUCAAAAGGUGAAAGUUAGGACCAAUCCUUACCACCAAGGGAUUAAUAAAGAUGCAACAUGGUUGCUUACGUGGUUGAGCACACAUGUAAAGACA